GCACUCGACCCGUCCUGCAUCACCUGCCGUCGCCCGUCAAGGUGCUAGACUGCGACACGAUCUCACAGGUGAAGGAGAAGGCGUUGAGCACUCUCUUAUUUGCUGGACGCCGUACUCAACGCGACCGACCAGCGAAGACUUUGAUUCGAGUGGCGAUCGGGUUUGCAGGGAAGACUUACUCUGCAAGAUAUAGACAGAAUCACGCAAGUCGACGGCGAGUGGAGACGCCUGAACACUCUACGUGAUUACUCGGUUUCCGAUGGAGCCACAUUCGUUCUUGUGCCAAAGCAAUCCAUAGUAUUCAAUAAUCUGGACAACAGUAUUAUUUCAAAUAGAUAUGAGAACUCGUCGUUGAAGGCGAGUCCGCCUACGAGUCCGACGUCGCUGUCAUCGUCGUUCACCGAGCAGCACCACCUGCUGGAGUCCGGAGCACGCUCCUGGCACCUGUUUAAAUGGUCCGAUGCAGACGGUGUGGAGAGAGUGAAUAAGCUAGUCUCUGAGAUAUAUCUCAACCGACUGCUCUACACUAAGG